AAAAAUUUGAAACACGUUCGUAGAGAAGAAAGAUGGAUGAAAAAUAAAAUUUCUCUUCUUUGUUUAUACAAUUUUUGAAGUUGGUUGUAUGUUCAGUAUUGUAUUCAACUUGCUUCUACGAUGAUUAUUAUUUUUGUUUAUUUGUUGUGAGUUUCUUAAAACAAAUUUGAUAUGGAAACGAUACGAUUGACAUUGGUUAGAUCUGGUUCAGAAGAAGUAACAAUUAAAGAACAAGUCAAUAUUGAAGAAGGGAACAAUUACCAUUCUGACUUAAGCAAAUCUCUUCGAAAAGCUCAAAGUGACUUUAACACUGCUCUUACAGAAAUUAUAGAUCAAGAAAAGAAGAGGCAGGAAGGUGAAGAGAUCACAAAGAAAGCUAAGAAGAUGAAGAAAUGUUAAUUUUACCUAUUUGUUAAUGUCAUCCAGCUAUGAAGUUAUGUUAGAAUAAAUUUCUUUUACUCAA